UNAUGGGCGCAGGCCUGAACCAGCCAGUAGCGUGAAGGAUGACUGCCCUAUGGGUUGUAAACUUCUUUUAUAAAGGAAUAAAGUCGGGUAUGGAUACCCGUUUGCAUGUACUUUAUGAAUAAGGAUCGGCUAACUCCGUGCCAGCAGCCGCGGUAAUACGGAGGAUCCGAGCGUUAUCCGGAUUUAUUGGGUUUAAAGGGAGCGUAGGUGGAUUGUUAAGUCAGUUGUGAAAGUUUGCGGCUCAACCGUAAAAUUGCAGUUGAAACUGGCAGUCUUGAGUACAGUAGAGGUGGGCGGAAUUCGUGGUGUAGCGGUGAAAUGCUUAGAUAUCACGAAGAACUCCGAUUGCGAAGGCAGCUCACUAGACUGUUACUGACACUGAUGCUCGAAAGUGUGGGUAUCAAACAGGAUUAGAUACCCUGGUAGUCCAAGGGCGAAUUC
rnacentral:rRNA from 1 species